AUGCUCAGGUUGGGGAGGGAACAAGACCCCCUGGGGAAGGGACUCCUCCCAGCUGAGGAGUUGAUUAGAAGCAACCUUGGAGUUGGCAGGAGCCUCAGAGAUUGCCUGAGUUAGUCCAAGAAACAGGCUGAGGGAGCUUGGGAGCAAGAGACUAAAACCAGCCAAGUUUGGGACAGAAGGGAAGGAAAGGGUUGAGCAGUGAACAGAAAGACAAAGAACAGGCAGUUCCAAAGAGCCAAGAAUGCAAAUCAUUUGCAGACGCCGCCGGCGAGCUGCUGUGGGGGUGCCUGACACUGUGGGCACAGCCACUUCUACACGUCACGGCAUAUGAGAAUACAGGCCACUGGGAGAGAUUCACAUCUGUGGUUUCUUCAAAAACACUGCAGCCCACAGUGAUCUCUAAUUUUUCCAUUUCUAUCACAUUUAGGUCUCCCCUUGGUCAUUACCCUCCAGCCACACCAGACUCCUUUCUUGUCCUGGAACCUAUCAGACUCUUUCCUGUCUCAAGCCUCUGCUGUCCUCUCUGCUUAAACAGUGGCUCCUGCAGAGAAGGCAUCAGAAUUUCCCAGGAGCUGAUUAGAAAUGCACAUUCUCCAGCCCCUCCCAGACCUCCUGAAUCAGAAUCCCUGGGGUGGGCCCAGCAAGCCCGCUCUCUAGGGCACAGGUGAUUCUGAUGUGUGCUGAAGUUUAA